CGCGCCGGAGUCACGUGUUGGGGGAAGCGGGAAGGUGUCGUUCUUCUUUCCCCGCCUCCCCCAUCCGCCAUGUUUUCUGGCCGGGUCAUCCUUGGUCUUUCUGCGUAAGGAAAUGGCCGGGGGGUUUCAGAGAACCCAGGCGCCGUUGCCUCGGAGGAGCCCGGGCUGACGAGGCAGGGCAGCGGGGUAAACCGGAGCAGUUCUGCGCGGGGAGGGGAGGCCAUGGCGUCCGGCAGUAACUGGCUGUCGGGGGUGAAUGUCGUGCUGGUGAUGGCCUACGGGAGCCUGGUGUUUGUGCUGCUAUUUAUUUUUGUGAAGAGGCAAAUCAUGCGCUUUGCAAUGAAAUCCCGAAGGGGACCUCACGUCCCUGUGGGACACAAUGCCCCCAAGGACUUAAAAGAGGAGAUUGAUAUUCGACUAUCCAGGGUUCAGGAUAUCAAGUAUGAACCUCAGCUCCUUGCAGAUGAUGAUGCAAGACUGCUGCAGCUGGACACCCAGGGAAAUCAGAGUUGCUACAACUAUUUAUACAGGAUGAAAGCUCUAGAUGCCAUCCGUGCCUCUGAAAUCCCAUUUCAUGCUGAAGGCCGGCAUCCCCGUUCCUUAAUAGGCAAGAAUUUUCGCUCCUACCUGCUAGAUCUUCGAAACACUAGUACUCCUUUCAAGGGUGUGCGCAAGGCCCUCAUUGAUACCCUGCUGGACGGCUAUGAAACAGCCCGCUAUGGGACUGGGGUCUUUGGCCAGAGAGAGUACCUGCGCUACCAGGAGGCCCUGAGUGAGCUGGCCACAGUGGUCAAAGCACGAAGCGGGAACUCUCAGCGACAGCAUCAGUCAGCAGCCAAGGACCUCACCCAGUCUCCUGAGGUCUCCCCAACCACCAUCCAGGUGACAUACCUCCCCUCCAGCCAGAAGAGCAAACGUGCCAAGCACUUCCUUGAACUGAAGAGCUUUAAGGACAACUAUAACACACUAGAGAGCACUCUGUGAUGGCGCUGAAGGACUUGCUGUUGAUGGAGCCAGAGAGACUGCAUGGUGCUGGCUGGGUGCCCCUCAGGUCAUCUGGAUCAGCUGAAGCUCCCGGUGGUGUCCACAGCUCUUAGAGCUCAUGCCUAGAGAAUCAUUCUCCACGCCUUCCUUAUGGCCAGUUUCAAAACACCAAGUUUUCAAAGGAACCUGAUACUUAAGAAGAUGAUUGACAGGUCCGUCAAGCCGCCCUGCACCAGCUAUUUGAAAAGGAGCAUCAGCAGUACCAGCAGGAACUAAAUCAGAUGGGCAAAGCUUUCUAUGUGGAAAGAUUCUGAUGACAUCCGAAACACUGUCCUUCCAUUUUCAUCAUGCCCACUAAUCUAAUCUUCUCGAGCUCCUGCCACCUUGAACUUCCUUCCCAAAACACACCUGGAUCUAGUUAUCUGUCCACAACUUAAGGUGGUGCUUCUACUCUCGCCUCUCAACUGCCUGGUGCUAUUUGGGAAACCAUCUAUGAAAAACUGGGAAAAAACAAAACACCAAGAGUGACACCUUGUGGUCAGAAUGAGAGAUGUAGUGUUGAUGUAAGGUGGUGAGGGAAGAUGGAGAGAUAGACAAUGUGAGAGAAUCCUGAUUUGGUUUAAUAAAUAAGCUAGUUCUUAAAGCUUCAAACUUA